UGACAGCGGAGGGAUCAUUACCGAGUUAUUCAACUCAUCAACCCUGUGAACAUACCUAAACGUUGCUUCAGGCGGGAAUAGACGGCCCCGUGAAACGGGCCGCCCCCGCCAGAGGACCCUUAACUCUGUUUCUAUAAGUUUCUUCUGAGUAAAACAAGCAAAUAAAUUAAAACUUUCAACAACGGAUCUCUUGGCUCUGGCAUCGAUGAAGAACGCAGCGAAAUGCGAUAAGUACCCUGAAUUGCAGAAUUCAGUGAAUCAUCGAAUCUUUGAACGCACAUUGCGCCCGCCGUAUUCUGGCGGGCAUGCCUGUUCGAGCGUCAUUACAACCCUCAGGCCCCCGGCUGGCGUUGGGGAUCGGCGGAGCCCCCCGUGGGCACACGCCGUCCCCCAAAUACAGUGGCGGUCCCGCCGCAGCUUCCAUCGCGUAGUAGCUAACACCUCGCGACUGGAGAGCGGCGCGGCCACGCCGUAAAACACCCAACUCUUCUGAAGUUGACCUCGAAUCAGGUAGGAAUACCCGCUGAACUUAAGCAU
rnacentral:rRNA from 1 species